rnacentral:rRNA from 1 species
AGUGAACGCUGGCGGUAGGCCUAACACAUGCAAGUCGAACGGCAGCACAGUAAGAGCUUGCUCUUACGGGUGGCGAGUGGCGGACGGGUGAGGAAUACAUCGGAAUCUACUUUUUCGUGGGGGCGAAGGUGGGGAAACUUACCCCAUACCGCCUUAGGACUAACGGGUGAAAGCAGGGGACCUCGGGCCCUCGGGCGAUCGAAUGACCGGAUGUCGGAUUAGCUAGUUGGCGGGGUAAAGGCCCACCAAGGCGACGAUCCGUAGCUGGUCUGAGAGGAUGAUCAGCCACACUGGAACUGAGACACGGUCCAGACUCCUACGGGAGGCAGCAGUGGGGAAUAUUGGACAAUGGGCGCAAGCCUGAUCCAGCCAUACCGCGUGGGUGAAGAAGGCCUUCGGGUUGUAAAGCCCUUUUGUUGGGAAAGAAAAGCAGCAGGUUAAUACCCCGCUGUUCUGACGUUACCCAAAGAAUAAGCACCGGCUAACUUCGUG